AACGUAGGACGCAAGCGUUAUCCGGAGUUACUGGGCGUAAAGCGCGGGCAGGCGGCUCGAAGCGUCUGAUGUGAAAUCUCCUCGCUCAACGGGGAGAGGCCAUUGGAAACGGUCGGGCUGGAGGGCAGUAGAGGUAGGCGGAAUUCCGGGUGGAGUGGUGAAAUGCGUAGAGAUCGGGAAGAACGCCAAGGGCGAAGGCACUCUGCUAGGCCUGAUUUCGCGACUGACACUCAGGGACGAGAGCCAGGGGAGCGAAUGGG
rnacentral:rRNA from 1 species